UUUUUUAGUAUUAAGAUAAAGGGAGAGAGAGUCUUGCCAUCCCUCAGACACAGCUAUCACUAGGUUUCAGGGAGUAUCCCUAGCAAAUUCAUUUUGGUUGGUCUGAUUCUGUUGGAAGAUGUAAAGUUGCUUCUCAUCUACCAGGAGAGGCAUCAUGGACAUCCAUAAUUCUCCUCCUUGGAAAUCGCAGGAUCGCAAGGCAAAUGCCUAGACCAACAAAGUCAGAACGUCUAAGAACAGGACUUGGGCAUGUGCAUUUUAAGAGUGCCCCGGAUGACUUUAUUGUGCACCUUGAGAAUCACUGGCUUGGUGUUAAGGCCCCAUGGGGGUUUAGAAAUCACCUGACCCAGUGCCAUAGAAUAGUGAAUGUGAGCUCUAUACACAAGACAAAACAUCACAGUAUGAGUGGGAAAAGCUAGCUGCAGAACAGAGGUGCAGAAAGGGCAAAUUAUAAAAUGUACCUUCCACUAUUAUACAGUCUCUGUUUUUGUGUUUAGGUUUUUUAAAAGUCUACAAGUGGAUUAGAAAGAAGGUUAAUUUUCAGGUGGUUUUCUCUGAGGGAAGAGAGGAUAAAGGGGCUGAAAGGAGCUCCAUCUUCUGUCCUGCUGUACUUCAUUUCUAUUUUAAAAACAGGUCUUGAAACAAAUAUUACAAAAUGUUACCAAUGUUCUCUUUUGGCUGGAAAGUAUGUACUUAAUUAUAUUUCUUUGUGCUCUUCUAUUUUUAAAAAAAUGUUCUCCAACAAAAAUGAUCAUCAAUUAAAGAAUAAAAUCUAGCAUCUAGGUUUUUCUAAAUGAGAACUAUGAGGCCCUGAAGCGUAAUUGACAUGAUAAUCAUGCCAAGGGCAGGGCCUGGGCCUCUGGACUCCCAUCCGAGGGCUCUGCCAUUGACCUAUGCAGAGUCACAGAUGGUGCUGCCAGGAAAGCCCUCCUCAGGGAGUUCUCCCUCUCUUAGCAUCCCCUUAACCACCUCCUCUGACAGGUUCCCAGCUUCCUGCAGGCAGAGGCUCAGGGCUGUGUGGCUGCAGGCUGCUUUCUCCCUCUUGGCCACUAUCCAGCGCGGGGGAUGCUCAGAGGCCCAGCGCGGUGCGUUCAGCUUGGGCAGCUCGGCCCCUGGGCCCUCGUGACCCAGGCAGGCGGCUGUCUGUGCCUCCGCAAGGCUGGCGCCCCAGUGGGCGUUCCCAGGCGGUAACCCUGCAAAGAAGGCAAUCAGCUUGCUAGUAUCUAUGCUGAGAAGCCCCCUCUGAAGGCAGCGAUUCAGACAUAAAGCUAGAUGAAUGUGUUUCGCUGCAAAGCCUGCAGCUGGAUUUUCAACUAGCACUGGAAAGGUGUUGAAAUUGGGAGACUGAAGAGAUCUGCUCUUUUGAUUCGGGCACUUCAGGAUUUUGCAGGCUCCGGACGGCCCUGGUCCAAAGCAAAGAAUCUCCCUGUGAGACUAAGCUAAAAUUUGGAAAGUCAGCUGCGUAAAUAAUUUUCUCUGAAUUAAAAGCAAGCACACGGUUGCAUGUGCUGCUUUUCCUUCCCUCUCUUGUUCUGAUGUGGCUGGCUCCCCUGUCACUGAGCUGUUUGAAUGAGCUGGGCUUUUCCUCUUUCCUAGCAAGCACUAGUGUAAAAGCCAGCGGGUGCCUGAGAACAGAUGAAGGGCCAUGUUCCUGGAGUAGGAGUAUAGCUGCAAUUAUGCCAGGCAAUCAGAGGCUUUAAUGGAUGAAUGGUUGUCACAGCACGGUUGGGUGUUUGAUAACCUCUAAGGUUGCUUAUUGUGAGUGGAAACCACAAGGUGAAAAAAAGAGACAGGGAUGGAUGAGCCUGUGUUUCUUUCACCUCCUUGCCUUUGAAGAUUUUGACAUUACUUCCAAGUACUCCUUAGGGAGGAUACUCUUGGGGGCCCAGCAGGAUUUUGCUUUGAGGAAAGAGGAGGAGAGCCAUAAUUAAGGAAGAAAAUGCAGAAAUUUGGGGUAGGGCUGCACAUUGAAUGCAGGAAUUCAAAGCACAAAAGUUCCAUGGAGGAGAAAGUGACCAAAGCCCCAUUAUCCAGUAUCCCCAAAGGAGGAACUGGAAGCACUGAGAUAGGAUCCCCACCCAAGGUCUCCAAAUAGAAAAUAGGGAGAUAGGAAGGAGAAGCAUCUGCUUCACUUUUCAUUCAGUGUCCCUCAGGAUUUUGGCAGCUCCAGAAAUUGAGCUCAAGUAGUAUUCCAGGCACCAGAGUGUUUUAUUGCUGGAUUGCAGCAGAAGGAAUUUUCCUUAAUGUUUGGAAACAAGAGGGCAUUGGCUCUCUAAUGCAGGGACAUCAGAUAGAGCUCCAUUUACUUGCCAAUCCCGUUUGAAUGGCAGUGGCUUGUUGGAACAUUCAGUCAGGAAUGGUUUUAAGGCCAGAUCUAGGCUCCCCAGAAGAAUGGUGCUUGAUUGAUUAGUGAUGUCUGCUUGGGUAUGGCAUGGGGAGGGCAUAUAUAUAUGGGCUUCCCAUUUGUCUCUCUGCUUUGGGAUGCCUUCCCUUCUGUAGGGGCACCAUCACCACUGACAUCAAUGUGAUAAACUUGAUAUAAUAAUCUUUGCUUUAGAUUCUUCUGCUAAGAAGCUUUUGACCUAAAAGGGAAGGUCAGCAAUGGUAUUUUUUAGGUCCUAAGGAAUUGGAUAGUGUAUGAUUCAAGAGGCACUGAAAUGCUCUUUCACUGGCUCACCUCAGUUACCAAAUGCCAGCAGACCUUAUCCAGAGAGAACAGACCUUUCUUCAUAGGUUCAUCCUCUGAAAACUAAACAGCCUAUACUUAGGCUCAUCUUCCCUGAAUUAAGCAAUGAGAAAUUUGCAAUUAUAUGGCUAAAAUAAGUGUUCAGUGACUAAGUCUUCUUUCAAGAGCCUGAGGUAGGUAGUUUUGAGCACAAAUCCACUUACGCAAUAUGUCCGUGGGCUUUUCAAGCACAAAUAGAAGUUAUGGUGAAAUAAAUAAAGAAGAGUAGUUGGAACAGAACUUUGCACCAAUGUCUUUCUGCCUGCAGGAGGUAGGAAAAUCCCAGAAAGGAUGACUCAAUAUUUGAAUCAAAACAGAACUGAGUGGAAGGACAGGAGAGGAAAGAGAAAAGAAAGAGGGAGGGACUCAAACCCUACUGCAGUAACUCCAGCUCAAGAAAAAUGUGAGAUACUCCAGUCUGUCAUUAUAGCCUGUGGUGGGCCAAAUAAUGGCCCCCCCCAAAGACAUCCAGGUCCCAAACACCUGAUCCCCCUACAUAGUAAAAGGGAUUUUGCAGGUAUGAUUAAGAUUCUUAAGAUGGACUCACUGUAAUCACAAGUUAAACUUGUAUCCACUUGAUAUGCAGAAAUAAGAAAUUAAGAUAGAAUGCAUGGCUGACUUAUAAUGAAUUGUCUCCUCCAUUCCCAUAGACUUUAGGCUUUUGAGAGCAUUACUCCCAUAAAUGCCUGUUCUUAGGAAUUAUGGCCCCACCAUGUGUUGUUUAGAAUGAGUUUUAGUCACACAUUUCAAUCAGCCUCAGUGGUGUUUGUCUAAUGGCAAGUUUUGUCCACAUAAAAGGAAUUCCAAGCUUAAGCACCUGAUUCCUAACCCCUCUACAUGUAAGGCUGCCAGCUUAGCACCAAAGAAAUAUCUAUGUCCUGGAUAGAAAGAAUAUUUUUGUGGGAAAUCCUUAAAAUCCAAGCCCGUGAUCUAUGUUUGCCAUGAAAAGUUAUUAUCAAACUCACAAUUUUAUUAUUUAUUUAUUUAAAAAUUGUAUGGCUGCACCCACAGUAUAUGGAAGUUUCUGGGCUAGGGAUUGAAUUUACAGUUUAUGGUGGAGCUGGGGUGAUGCUGGAUCUUGGAUUGAACCUAUACUUUGGCAGCAACCCAAACUGCUGCAGUUGGAGGAUUCUUGACCCACUGAGCCAUGGUGGGAACUCCAAAGACCCACAAUUUUCUUUUUUUUUUCCCCAGUGGCUUUUAAUUGCUCUAUGUCAGUUAUGAGGCUAUGAGACACUUCUUUAUACCACCCUUCCUCUAUCACAGUGAUGGAAAGAAUUACUCCAAUUGGGCAUAUGGACUAAAAAGCAUCUGUAUCUUGUCAGGCUAGUUAAGAUAAAAGACAUUGAAAACUUCUUUCUGAGAAUAAAUCUGCAGGUUCCACAAGGCCAGGACCAGGGCUUGUCUUUAGCCAUCAGUGAGUCUAGCAACUAGCAGAGCACCUGGUACAGGGUAGACACUCAAGCACUAUAUCUCAGUUGAAUAAAUGAAUGAAUGAAAAAGUAUAAAUAAUCAUUGAUGGUGGUCAUUCACUAUGCAAAUUUCCUUAAGGAAAAUGACAUAUGAAGAAAAAGCUAGAGAUUAUUGCUGAGUUUUGCUAGAAAUAUAGUGGUCUUUAAAAUGGAAGAAAAUAAGAUUUCUCUGCAUGUGAUCCUUGGUAUAAUUACAGGAGAUUUUAAUUUUCUCCUUUAUCUUUGUGUUUUUAAUUUUUUUCAAGUUGAAUAUGAUUUACAUUUAUAAUCAGGAAAAAAAUUUGUUUUGUUUUUUAAAGUAGAUUACUAGGAAAUAUGGUUAGUUGGCUAGAGUUGGAUGACUUCCUUGGGGAUGGAUUUAGCUGUCAGAGGGAGGCAUUAAGCUCAUAGUUGAUUAUUGAUUCUUGGUUUUCUUACGGGAAAGUGAGACAUGGAAAUAGCCAGGAGGUAAGAUUUAGUGUUAUGGUCAGAAGCAAUGACUGGAAUCAGACCUUGAGCCUGUUUCUUCCUAGCUGUUUGAACUAUUAAACUAGUCACCUAGUUCUCUCAGCUAUGAUAUUCCCUUCUAUAAGACGGAUAAACAUCCCUUACAGGAGUACUCAGAGGUUAAAUGAGAUAC
rnacentral:lncRNA from 1 species